AUGUACCCAGCUCCUCCUGGGCCUGGCUUCCGUGAGAACCAUUUUAUUGAGACGGAUGGUAUGCAGCGGUUGAGAAACUGCCGGUGGUUGGGAAAACAAUGAAAAAACCUCCCAGAACAAAAUACUGAAGAGGAAAGUGCCCAGACUGAGGGAGGAAGCUUGCAGAUGGCAAAUGAUGGACUUCACAGCCUCUGAGAAUUCAAGGGAGCUAAUUCCUGUAAUUGUUGUUUAAUCACUAAGUUGUGAUUCUUUUGUGACCCUGUGGACUGGAGCCUGCCAGGAUCCUCUGUCCAUGGAAUUCUCCAGGACUGUAGAAGAGCUGGGUCAGGAGGAUGCGGGCUUCCCAGGUGGUAAAGAACUCUCCCCUGCCGAUGCAGGAGACAUAAGAGAGGCAGGUUUGAUCCCUGGGUCUGGAAGGUUCUUGCCUGGAGACUCCUAUGGAUGGAGGAGCCUGGCGGGCUGCGGCUCAAAGCAUCGCCAAGAGUCAGACACGACAGAAGUGACUUAUCCUGCAUGCAGGAGGAAGUGAGCAAGGCCCUGAGAGACGUCUGGACCACAGGGCACACGGUCUGGAAGGUGAGGACAUCGAGGAUCAGAUGGCCCCUCUCUCUACUUGCUCCUGGGGUGGGGCGGUCAUCCCCGCUUCUCUCCAGGGCUCCCCUGCCGGCCAGCUCUCUCUCCUCCCUCAUAGGUCCGGCCCCUUUCUCUCUCCGGCUUCUUUGGGGGCCGAAGUCACCGCACCUUCAUCCCAGCUGUGACUCUAGAGAUGCAGGCUUAUGGCCUCAGCUCCCACUGCCACCAAGACCCGCCUGCAUCCCAGUUCCCAGGAGGAUGCUGCUUGGCCCAUCUUCUUGACCACGGCCACCCAGGCCACAUGCCCUUGGCAUCCGAGCAGCCGGCUGCACUUGGUCCAACAUGCACCCUGUUCCAGAUGGCCUGGGCAGGGGACGGGGGUUGGGACCACGGUGGCCGCACAGAGGGAUGGCCGUUUGCCCAGAGGAGCUGUGGGCAGGAAGGCGCUAUCCACACAGAAGACACCAAGGCGCAGGCAGGGAGCUUUCAUUUUGGUUUUUAUUAAUUCUCACAACUCCCCACGCGGACAGUGGGAGGAACCGGGUCUGCAGGGUCAGCAGAUCCUCUGAUGAACAGAAUGUGCAACUCUUUCCAGUGUGAUUCGUUUUGUUUUUUUUUUUUUUAAUCUGUGAAUUGUUGGGUCAAUUCCCAACAUCAUGAAGAGCCAGGUUUUGUUCAUCUUGGCGUCCAAAUGAUGUUUUCGAAAUCGGAACUAAAAUAAAGCAGUAACAAGACGAAGAAGCAACAUCCUGUUUUAUGGAGGGUCUGAUUAAAAAAAAAUCCGUGAGAAAAAACACUCUGUGUGCCGAGUAAACAUUUAUCCCCCAGCCCCCCACACUGUUGGGAGAUGGAGUAUCUGGCCAGGACAUGAGAAGACGAGUCUCAGGAUGAGCAGAUCACCCCUCCCCCUCCCUGAGGCCUUGGCAUGACUCAUUGGUCACGUUGCCUGGUACCAUGCAGUCCCCGCCCUCCUGAGGGCUGCAGCAGACGGAAUGUCACCACAGAUGGAGAAGAGCUCAAUCAAGCACAGGUUUUGGAUACCUUGACCCCGAGAGGAUGUGCAUUUUUAGCAGGUCAGGCGGAGGUGAUGUGGGUUGCGUGGCGAUGCCGGGAAAAACUCACACACCUGGGUGAAGCACGCAGACUGAUGCUGACGCCAGAUGGCAAGAACAGCUGAAGUCUUAUCAGAGGAGUCCCCAGCCCAAGUCCACCUGGCGCCAAUUCUGAGCCUCUCUUCCCAUGAAUGAUGUCUGGAGACCUCUCGGCCUGGAACGUCUCAGUGAGCAGAGCUGGACCACGGCAUGGGAAGCAAGACACAUCCGACAUCCAGCCCAGAGAGAAGGCUGGGAGCGUCGCAGCUCAGCUCUUCCAGCAACACCGAGGAGUCAGAGUCCCUAGAAACUCAUCACCCGCCAGCUCUGUUCACGCACGUGCAAGAGCGAAAGUGUCCACCGAAGGGGACAUGUUUUACAGCAAAAUCUAGAACAGCAGGGAUGUCAGGACUUCAAAGCUUCCAUCUCCUCCUUGCCCCUCUGAUAUGGUGUCUCAGGAUUCUGGUAAGCUCAUCUCCAAAUGCCCUUGGGUUUUAUCAUUGCCCGAGAAGACAUGCCCAAACCGCCACAUCCCAGCUGGAAACAUCUUGUGUAGAAACAUCCAAAGGUGGCUUCAGGUCUGGUGGUAAGGGACCUGCAGUUGCAGCGGGCCGCCUCCCUCCUGCUCCCUGGGUGUGCUGGGCUCUGGGGAACACUGAGUUUCUACGGCCCCUGCAAUCCCGCAGUUUCCUCCCUUGAAUCAAACCUUGAUCUUUGAAGCCCUGAGUUUUGUAGAUUUAAACUGACCUGAAGGGACCAAGAAAGGACUCAGUGAGGCCGGGAGUCUCCCCGGCAGCUCUGAACACAGCAGGGAAGGGUCGGAUUGCUCACCCCUCUGGCUGCCCCUUGGAAGGGACUCCCACACCGCGACGAACUUUGCAAAGACUCCUGAGGACAUUUUGCUUUGAAGGGAGAGGUGACCGCAGAACUACAGGCCAGAGAGGCUGGACACGUACCUGCAGUGGAGUGGACACUCACUAAGAGGACCUGGAGGCCUGGACCUGGAGAAGUGGGCUUCCUCUGAGCAUGUGUCCACACAGGGGAGGGAUCCAGAGGCAAAGAGUGGGUUUCGUGGGUCCCCAGAUAUGACUGGGUUCUUUCCUUGAACUUUGGCCUCGGGGUCUCCUGACUCUCCGGUGUGGGUACCUGUGUGCCCACCUGCAUGGGCACUCCUUGUUCCUUGCCCCCUCUGUGGUCACCCCUGGCCAGGCCCUCUGCCUUGGGCUUGGGCGUGGGAGGCUCACAGGGCCUGGUCACCGGAAGUAGAGACCGAGGGGCUGGUCAGUCUGCAGGGAUGAAAGAUACCC
ensembl:lncRNA